AUAUUAUUUAGUAUUUACCAUUCUAUUCUAACAAGUUAAGAUUUUAGAUUGAGUGAUUCGAUAAUUACCUCGAUAUAAACGAGAAGAGCCUUAAAACGGGGGGCGUUUUCUGGGAGAAAACCCAAUGGAGCUCUAUCCAGUGGCCCUUCUGCACCAAAAUAAACAAAGAUAGGAGAAUUUGCUUUUGCACCACCCCAGUAUUUGUAGUUGAUGAGAUAUCUUUGUUUGAAAGUCGCAUAACUUUGGGGUCCAUAGUUGAAGUGGUCUAGGGUUUGUGUAUAAAAAUAUGUCUUGAAAUCAUUUGAAAUUGUAGGAGAAGAUACUGUAUCAGAUUCAGGGUUGUGGUCUAUUAGGAUUGUUUCUCCAAGUGUAUCGAGAAAUGGAAUUUCGUGUGGUUCUACUGAUGAAACGUAUGCAAAGAUUUGAAGAAGCAGCAGACAGAAUGAACGGUAGAAAUAUCUAAAAGAAAGUAUUUGAGGAGAACUAUUUUGUGCUUCCAUCUUCAUUCUUCUGAGUUCUGAGUUUG
rnacentral:lncRNA from 1 species